GGUUUGUAUUAACUGCAUAUCACUCUCGUUAAGAUUGCCACAUUUUUUACGGUAUCCGUUUCCCCAGUCCGUAAGCACAUAGAGCGAAUGUUUUUCAUCCAUUGAUCUACCGAUGGCUUUUUCAGUGGAAGUUGGUGUAGUUAGGUCAUGGCAAAUAAUAUUACCUCAGUUAUCUCAUUUACCCAAGAUGGUACCUAGGCAACCAGGAUUUCCGUCGGGCAGGUGAGAAUGUAGGGACUCUUUAUGGCGAUGGAGACAGCUCACGGUCAGAUAGCCAAGCAGUGGUAGACAUAAGAUUUGAACUGGUCCGGCUGGUUCCUUUCCCGUUCAGACAACUCGUGCAAGAGGCUCCUCGCUGUUGUUCAGAAGGCAGAAAGGAAAAAGCCGAGCGCCCCUCUCCACAGAGGAAGCCUGACCACGUGGCUUAAACACGUGACUUUAUUUUCUCACAACCUCAAGCUGAUCCAGGUACUGGCCAAUUUGGGUUUUCUGGACUGUUCUCAGAAGUCGAAGACGGUCACCUACAUGCUAUCCUGAGACGGUGUGGGGAGAUGAGAGGGAGAGAGAUUCUCUGCUUUGUCCCACUGUGAGGUCACUAACCCUGGAACCGGGGCCCCGCCUCCGUGACUCAUAAACUUCGUUAUGCCCACAGCAUCUCCCUCGCCGGUAGUUACAGUCACGGUCACCUUGCUGUGACCAAACACCUGAGAGAAACAAGAGAAGAAAGGGUAUAACGUUUUGUAGGUUUCAGAACAGUUCUUUAAGGCUCAGGGUCAUCAUGGCUGCUGGGACUGAUGCCGCUGUUUUUAAGCAAAAGAAGUGUGUGUCGGGGAAUUCUCACCUCUUCUUGGCAGUCCCGAAAGAGGAAUGUACAGACCAGAGCAGAUUCUUUCCCAGUUUCUCCUCUUCCCUCAUCUGGAUUCUGCUCCACACACCCUACUGACGGAGAAGCUGUUCGCGGCGAAAGCGAAGAGACAGAAAGACAAAAGACGAAAAUAUUCAGCCAAGCAGCAAAUAUUUACCGACUUGGUAGAUCUUUUUCCCGGCUCCCAACACAAAUGAAAACAGACCAGAGCAUCCACUACUGUCUUCUCGGAUUAUUGAACUAAAACUAUUUGCCACCACAAUGCUUUUAUUCGUAGAAUGAUUAGAUGGUGUUUUAUUUUUUUCUUCCAGCAAAGUCGUUACGGAAGCAGGAGCCUGUGGCCAUCCAAAGAAAUACCUCAGACUAGCCUAAGCCAAUAAUUUUCUCUAGUUUCUCUAGGGGCCGGGACUACAUCAAUUUACUUUCCUAUCCUUAAUCGUAUUAGGUUUUUUUUUUUUAAACUCCAUAAUAAAACAUUUUAGUGCUGCAAAAUGAGAAAAUUUAGAGGAAAAUAAACACCAACACCUCCCCUCCCCCAAUUCAGAGAACAGAGCGAAGUAUGAUUCUGUUUGUGGCUGCCCUGCUGGCGUUAUCCUUAUGAUUAUUGUGAUUAUUGGCUUGCCAAAAUGACAGGAAGCCAGUUUGCAUCCUUUCUCCAGUGCACACCGUGCUGAUCUCCAACACCCUUAUAAAAAGCCAGGCAGAGGUUCAUGCUUGUGAUCCUAGUGCCGGCAGAGGAUUAGACCACCAGCCUAGCCCACCUGCCAAGCUCCCAGCCACUCAGAGGCUGUCUUCAACCAAGAGACAUUUACUGCAUUGGAGGGGCCCACCCCCCAAAUUCAGGAUUCCCUUUUAAAGGUCUGCCUACUAUUGGAUUCUGUCAAAUGGACAUCCCGUGGUUGAUUUAGGAGCGGCCCCACUGUUACAUGGCUAGGCUGCUUCUCUCUUUGCCUCCUCAUAAAUGAAUCGGACAGAAACGAA